rnacentral:rRNA from 1 species
GGCGGCGCAGCUACACAUGCAGUCGAGCGAGAUCUUCGGAUCUAGCGGCGGACGGGUGAGUAACGCGUGGGAACGUACCCUCUUCUGCGGGAUAGCCACUGGAAACGGUGAGUAAUACCGCAUACGCCCUUCGGGGGAAAGAUUUAUCGGAGGAGGAUCGGCCCGCGUUGGAUUAGGUAGUUGGUGGGGUAAUGGCCUACCAAGCCUACGAUCCAUAGCUGGUUUUAGAGGAUGAUCAGCCACACUGGGACUGAGACACGGCCCAGACUCCUACGGGAGGCAGCAGUGGGGAAUCUUAGACAAUGGGCGCAAGCCUGAUCUAGCCAUGCCGCGUGAGUGACGAAGGCCUUAGGGUCGUAAAGCUCUUUCGCCUGUGAUGAUAAUGACAGUAGCAGGUAAAGAAACCCCGGCUAACUCCGUGCCAGCAGCCGCGGUAAUACGGAGGGGGUUAGCGUUGUUCGGAAUUACUGGGCGUAAAGCGCACGUAGGCGGAUUGGAAAGUAUGGGGUGAAAUCCCAGGGCUCAACCCUGGAACGGCCUCAUAAACUUCCAGUCUGGAGUUCGAGAGAGGUGAGUGGAAUUCCGAGUGUAGAGGUGAAAUUCGUAGAUAUUCGGAGGAACACCAGUGGCGAAGGCGGCUCACUGGCUCGAUACUGACGCUGAGGUGCGAAAGUGUGGGGAGCAAACAGGAUUAGAUACCCUGGUAGUCC